rnacentral:rRNA from 1 species
AAUUUAAUUACAACGAAGAGUUUGAUCCUGGCUCAGGAUGAACGCUAGCGGUAGGCUUAACACAUGCAAGUCGAGGGGUAACAGGGUAGCAAUACUGCUGACGACCGGCGCACGGGUGAGUAACGCGUAUGCAACCUACCUUUAACUGGGGAAUAGCUUCGAGAAAUCGGAAUUAAUACUCCAUAAUAUCAAAGUAUCGCAUGGUAUUUUGAUUAAAGCU